rnacentral:rRNA from 1 species
GACGAACGCUGGCGGCGUGCUUAACACAUGCAAGUCGAACGGGCAGCCGGGGUUUUGGCUCGGUUGGUGAGUGGCGAACGGGUGAGUAACACGUGAGUAACCUGCCCCUCUCUUUGGGAUAACGUCGGGAAAUCGGCGCUAAUACCGGGUAUUCUGUCUUCCUCCCAUGGGGUUGUUGGGAAAGGUCUUUUUUGGUGGGGGUUGUGGUCGCGGCCUAUCAGCUUGUUGGUGGGGUGAUGGCCUACCAAGGCGGUGACGGGUAGCCGGCCGGGGAGGGUGUGCGGCGACCACGGGCCUGAGACCCGGCACAGGCUCCUGCGGGAGACAGUAGGCAGGAAUGUUGAACAAUGCGCAGCAGCCUGAUGCAGCGGCGACGCGUGGGGGGUGACGGACUUCGGGUUGUAAGCCUCUUUCAGUGCAGAACAAGGCUCUUUGUGGGUUGACGGUAUGCGCAGAAGAAGCGCCGGCUAACUACGUG